rfam:Prochlorococcus marinus MED4 complete genome.
AUUCAAACGGAGGGAUUAGAAAUGAUUGAUAGUCCACCAGAGAAGUUCAUUAGAUUGGUUUAAGCAGCCAAUUGUUUACUAUUACACAUAACUAAGUUAAGAGGUUGAUUACUAAAGUCAGUAGUCAAUCUUUUUUUUC